AACGAACGCUGGCGGCAGGCUUAACACAUGCAAGUCGAACGCAUCCUUCGGGGUGAGUGGCAGACGGGUGAGUAACGCGUGGGAACGUGCCCUUCAGUUCGGGAUAACCCAGGGAAACUUGGGCUAAUACCGGAUACGUGCGAGAGCAGAAAGAUUUAUCGCUGAAGGAUCGGCCCGCGUCUGAUUAGCUAGUUGGUGGGGUAAUGGCCCACCAAGGCGACGAUCAGUAGCUGGUCUGCGAGGAUGAUCAGCCACAUUGGGACUGAGAUACGGCCCAGACUCCUACGGGAGGCAGCAGUGGGGAAUAUUGCACAAUGGGCGCAAGCCUGAUGCAGCGACGCCGCGUGAGGGAUGACGGCCUUCGGGUUGUAAACCUCUUUCAGCACCGACGAAGCGCAAGUGACAGUAGGUGCAGAGGAAGGACCGGCCAGCUACGUGCCAGCCGCCGCCGUAA
rnacentral:rRNA from 1 species